ACCAGCCACCAAAACAAUGCUUAAAGAUAAGAAAGUUCACGACAAAAAGGGUAAUUAUAUUUCUCCUUCCUCUCUUGAACUUCUCUGCUUCGGUCCCAGAUUUCUCAGUGAAUCCAAAGAUGGUUAGCAGUGUUUUUCUCACUAAACGAGACCCUUACUUCAAGCGGAAAUAAUAAUGAAGAUUGUUCAGGAAGGAGCUUUUGAAGCAAAGAUGUUGCUUCUGCUGCUGCUGUUGUUGAAUCGGUUGACCCGGAUCUCAGUGCUUCAACUUCUAGUCUCCGUAGAAAAGCACUACUUGAGAAACUCAAUUGAGGAGUUGGAAUCAUCCGAGAGCUUAUCAAGAUCUGAAAAGUGGACACUGAACGUUGCUUCUGCGUUUUUCCUAGUCUUGGCACAUGAUAAAGUGAAUUAAAGGCUCUUUGUCGAUGGAGACAAGCUUAACGUAUGGAUUCACGUGACCAUAAAUGUUGAAAUGUUUAGCUUAUGUCUACAUAUUGCAUCCAUCUGAUUAUCUAAGUUCCAAAACUACAAUCACCAUAUCCUGGUUAGUACAUGAGUCGCCUAGUGGAUUCUAAAGUUUCUCAGCUUAAUAUGGUUUUGCAGAUUACCUCUAUUGCACAUGGUCAUUUCAGAAUAUUUCACAAGUUGAUCCCGACAGUCUGGUGGCUUUGGGUGGUUCAAGUGCCGAAGGUGUGUUACUAGACAUGAUGAAGACUGCCUCAAGCAUGAUUGGCCAGAUAUCACCUGAAGAGCUUUAGAAGAUGACCCAACUGGCUACCUCAUUUCAAGUCUCCAUGGUCAGGAAACAUUGCUGAAGGGAAGACAGUUUUAAAUAGUCUUGCUACUGCAGCUGCUGUGCCCGGGUCUUCCAUAACAUCAGCUACAGUUCCUGCUUUAGCACCCACCGGUGGGGAAGGUUGCACUUUCUCCUUGUAGUUGGUCAGGACUCACUAAGUCUGGAUCGUUCCAAGUUUCAUGAUUAGAUGUUAGUUGAUUGUUCUAAGUAUCUUAUGGCAUGGGACUGCGGGGCAUGGUUAUGCUCGAUCACAGGUUUCAGCCAAUUCAGGUGUUGACCCUGCUUGUUUCCACCAGUUUCUUUGUUCUUCACCAUCCACCUAAAACCAAAAUGGAAAGAGUAGAAAUAUGACGGUUUGCUUUAUCUUUAUCUUGCUUGAAACUUGCAAGGCCUUCAGGCUCUGGAGUGGACAUGGAAUACAAACCUACAGGAGGCACAAUUUAGAAGGGAAGGGGUUUUGAUGCAAUAUGCCAGCUAAAGCUUAUGUAUCCGAUUUUCCUUGUUUACUUCAUGGUGAUGGUCGAGCUGCCAACAACACGUUCGUCGUUUUAAGUUUGCUUUUUGAGGAACUUCAGGAUAUGACUGCAAGAUUGAUGAAUCAUGAAUGGAGUACUUGCAGAUGUUUGAGGGUGUGGUGUGAUUAAAUGGCCAAAAGCUAACAUAACCCCAGGAGCAGAAUGACCAAAUUAGAGUGGCAAGGUGAUAGUAGAUUGAAUUCAGUUUUAGUGUUCAAUAUGUGAUUUCGGGUAGCCAGAAUUUAUUUUUAAAAUUGUACCAGAGAUUCUACUUUUUUGAAAAUUAAUAAAAAUAUUAUUUUGAUUG